UUCCUACGGGACGCAGCAGUGAGGAAUAUUGGUCAAUGGCCGAAGGGCUGAACCAGCCAAGCCGCGUGAAGGAAUAAGGCCCUACGGGUCGUAAACUUCUUUAGUCAGGGAACAAAGGGAGCCACGCGUGGCGCUGUGAGUGUACCUGAAGAAAAAGCAUCGGCUAACUCCGUGCCAGCAGCCGCGGUAAUACGGAGGAUGCGAGCGUUAUCCGGAUUUAUUGGGUUUAAAGGGUGCGCAGGCGGUCUGUUAAGUCAGCGGUCAAAGCCCGGGGCUCAACCCCGGCCCGCCGUUGAACCUGGAAG
rnacentral:rRNA from 1 species